UACGGGGGGGGCAAGCGUUGUUCGGAAUUACUGGGCGUAAAGGGCUCGUAGGCGGCCAACUAAGUCAGACGUGAAAUCCCUCGGCUUAACCUGGGAACUGCAUUGGUGACUGGCGGGCUAGAGUAUGGCAGAGGGGGGUGGAAUUCCACGUGUAGCAGUGAAAUGCGUAGAGAUGUGGAGGAAUACCGAUGGCGAAGGCAGCCCCCUGGGCCAAUACUGACGCUCAUGCACGAAAGCGUGGGGAGCAAACAGG
rnacentral:rRNA from 1 species